rnacentral:rRNA from 1 species
AGAGUUUGAUCCUGGCUCAGGAUGAACGCUGGCGGUCUGCUUAACACAUGCAAGUCGAACGGGAAUCUUCGGAUUCUAGUGGCGGACGGGUGAGUAACGCGUGAGAAUCUGCCUUCAGGACGGGGAUAACAGUUGGAAACGACUGCUAAGACCGGAUGUGCCGAGAGGUGAAAUAUUUAUAGCCUGAAGAUGAGCUCGCGUCCGAUUAGCUAGUUGGUAAGGUAAAAGCUUACCAAGGCGACGAUCGGUAGCUGGUCUGAGAGGACGAUCAGCCACACUGGGACUGAGACACGGCCCAGACUCCUACGGGAGGCAGCAGUGGGGAAUUUUCCGCAAUGGGCGAAAGCCUGACGGAGCAAGACCGCGUGGGGGAGGAAGGUUCUUGGAUUGUAAACCCCUUUUCUCAGGGAAGAACACAAUGACGGUACCUGAGGAAUCAGCAUCGGCUAACUCCGUGCCAGCAGCCGCGGUAAUACGGAGGAUGCAAGCGUUAUCCGGAAUAAUUGGGCGUAAAGCGUCCGUAGGUGGCUGUUCAAGUCUGUCGUUAAAGACCGGGGCUUAACCCCGGAAAGGCGGUGGAAACUGAACGGCUAGAGUGCAGUAGGGGUAGAGGGAAUUCCCAGUGUAGCGGUGAAAUGCGUAGAGAUUGGGAAGAACACCGGUGGCGAAAGCGCUCUGCUGGACUGCAACUGACACUGAGGGACGAAAGCUAGGGGAGCGAAUGGGAUUAGAUACCCUAGUAGUCC